UCCGUAGGCGGGUAAUUAAGUCAGAGGUGAAAUCUCACAGCUUAACUGUGGAACUGCCUUAGAUACUGGUUAUCUUGAGUUUUAGUGAAGUAGAUAGAAUGUGUAGUGUAGCGGUGAAAUGCAUAGAUAUUACACAGAAUACCGAUUGCGAAGGCAGUCUACUAACUAACAACUGACGCUAAUGGACGAAAGCGUGGGGAGCGAACAGGAUUAGAUACCCUGGUAGUCC
rnacentral:rRNA from 1 species